AGAGUGAACGCUGGCGGUAGGCCUAACACAUGCAAGUCGAACGGCAGCACAGUGGUAGCAAUACCAUGGGUGGCGAGUGGCGGACGGGUGAGGAAUACAUCGGAAUCUACCUUUUCGUGGGGGAUAACGUAGGGAAACUUACGCUAAUACCGCACACGCCCUUCGGGGGAAAGCCGGGGAUCGCAAGACCUGGCGCGGAUAGAUGAGCCGAUGUCGGAUUAGCUAGUUGGUGAGGUAAUGGCUCACCAAGGCGACGAUCCGUAGCUGGUCUGAGAGGAUGAUCAGCCACACUGGAACUGAGACACGGUCCAGACCUCCUACGGGAGCAGCAGUGGGGAAUAUGGACAAGUGGG
rnacentral:rRNA from 1 species